rnacentral:rRNA from 1 species
GGUUAAGCGACUAAGCGUACACGGUGGAUGCCCUGGCAGUCAGAGGCGAUGAAGGACGUGCUAAUCUGCGAAAAGCGUCGGUAAGGUGAUAUGAACCGUUAUAACCGGCGAUGUCCGAAUGGGGAAACCCAGUGCAAUUCGUUGCACUAUCGUUAACUGAAUACAUAGGUUAACGAGGCGAACCGGGGGAACUGAAACAUCUAAGUACCCCGAGGAAAAGAAAUCAACCGAGAUUCCCCCAGUAGCGGCGAGCGAACGGGGAGCAGCCCAGAGUCUGAAUCAGCUUGUGUGUUAGUGGAACGGUCUGGAAAGUCCGACGGUACAGGGUGAUAGUCCCGUACACCAAAAUGCACAGGUUGUGAACUCGAAGAGUAGGGCGGGACACGUGGUAUCCUGUCUGAAUAUGGGGGGACCAUCCUCCAAGGCUAAAUACUCCUGACUGACCGAUAGUGAACCAGUACCGUGAGGGAAAGGCGAAAAGAACCCCGGCGAGGGGAGUGAAAAAGAACCUGAAACCGUGUACGUACAAGCAGUGGGAGCACCUUCGGGUGUGACUGCGUACCUUUUGUAUAAUGGGUCAGCGACUUAUAUUCUGUAGCAAGGUUAACCGUAUAGGGGAGCCGCAGGGAAACCGAGUCUUAACUGGGCGUUAAGUUGCAGGGUAUAGACCCGAAACCCGGUGAUCUAGCCAUGGGCAGGUUGAAGGUUGGGUAACACUAACUGGAGGACCGAACCGACUAAUGUUGAAAAAUUAGCGGAUGACUUGUGGCUGGGGGUGAAAGGCCAAUCAAACCGGGAGAUAGCUGGUUCUCCCCGAAAGCUAUUUAGGUAGCGCCUCGUGAACUCAUCUUCGGGGGUAGAGCACUGUUUCGGCUAGGGGGGCAUCCCGACUUACCAACCCGAUGCAAACUACGAAUACCGAAGAAUGUUAUCACGGGAGACACACGGCGGGUGCUAACGUCCGUCGUGAAGAGGGAAACAACCCAGACCGCCAGCUAAGGUCCCAAAGUCAUGGUUAAGUGGGAAACGAUGUGGGAAGGCACAGACAGCCAGGAUGUUGGCUUAGAAGCAGCCAUCAUUUAAAGAAAGCGUAAUAGCUCACUGGUCGAGUCGGCCUGCGCGGAAGAUGUAACGGGGCUAAACCAUGCACCGAAGCUGCGGCAGCGACACUAUGUGUUGUUGGGUAGGGGAGCGUUCUGUAAGCCUGCGAAGGUGACCUGUGAGGGUUGCUGGAGGUAUCAGAAGUGCGAAUGCUGACAUAAGUAACGAUAAAGCGGGUGAAAAGCCCGCUCGCCGGAAGACCAAGGGUUCCUGUCCAACGUUAAUCGGGGCAGGGUGAGUCGACCCCUAAGGCGAGGCCGAAAGGCGUAGUCGAUGGGAAACAGGUUAAUAUUCCUGUACUUGGUGUUACUGCGAAGGGGGGACGGAGAAGGCUAUGUUAGCCGGGCGACGGUUGUCCCGGUUUAAGCAUGUAGGCUGAUUAUCCAGGCAAAUCCGGAUAAUCAAGGCUGAGGUGUGAUGACGAGGCACUACGGUGCUGAAGUAACAAAUGCCCUGCUUCCAGGAAAAGCCUCUAAGCAUCAGGUAACAUUAAAUCGUACCCCAAACCGACACAGGUGGUCAGGUAGAGAAUACCAAGGCGCUUGAGAGAACUCGGGUGAAGGAACUAGGCAAAAUGGUGCCGUAACUUCGGGAGAAGGCACGCUGGUGUGUAGGUGAAGUCCCUGCGGAUGGAGCUGAGACCAGUCGAAGAUACCAGCUGGCUGCAACUGUUUAUUAAAAACACAGCACUGUGCAAACACGAAAGUGGACGUAUACGGUGUGACGCCUGCCCGGUGCCGGAAGGUUAAUUGAUGGGGUUAUCCGUAAGGAGAAGCUCUUGAUCGAAGCCCCGGUAAACGGCGGCCGUAACUAUAACGGUCCUAAGGUAGCGAAAUUCCUUGUCGGGUAAGUUCCGACCUGCACGAAUGGCGUAAUGAUGGCCAGGCUGUCUCCACCCGAGACUCAGUGAAAUUGAACUCGCUGUGAAGAUGCAGUGUACCCGCGGCAAGACGGAAAGACCCCGUGAACCUUUACUAUAGCUUGACACUGAACAUUGAGCCUUGAUGUGUAGGAUAGGUGGGAGGCUUUGAAGCGUGGACGCCAGUCUGCGUGGAGCCAACCUUGAAAUACCACCCUUUAAUGUUUGAUGUUCUAACGUUGGCCCCUGACCGGGGUUGCGGACAGUGUCUGGUGGGUAGUUUGACUGGGGCGGUCUCCUCCCAAAGCGUAACGGAGGAGCACGAAGGUUAGCUAAUCCUGGUCGGACAUCAGGAGGUUAGUGCAAUGGCAUAAGCUAGCUUGACUGCGAGCGUGACGGCGCGAGCAGGUGCGAAAGCAGGUCAUAGUGAUCCGGUGGUUCUGAAUGGAAGGGCCAUCGCUCAACGGAUAAAAGGUACUCCGGGGAUAACAGGCUGAUACCGCCCAAGAGUUCAUAUCGACGGCGGUGUUUGGCACCUCGAUGUCGGCUCAUCACAUCCUGGGGCUGAAGUAGGUCCCAAGGGUAUGGCUGUUCGCCAUUUAAAGUGGUACGCGAGCUGGGUUUAGAACGUCGUGAGACAGUUCGGUCCCUAUCUGCCGUGGGCGCUGGAGAAUUGAGGGGGGCUGCUCCUAGUACGAGAGGACCGGAGUGGACGCAUCACUGGUGUUCGGGUUGUCAUGCCAAUGGCACUGCCCGGUAGCUAAAUGCGGAAGAGAUAAGUGCUGAAAGCAUCUAAGCACGAAACUUGCCCCGAGAUGAGUUCUCCCUGAGACUUUAAGUCUCCUGAAGGAACGUUAAAGACGAUGACGUUGAUAGGCCGGGUGUGUAAGCGCAGCGAUGCGUUGAGCUAACCGGUACUAAUGAACCGUGAGGCUUAACCUU